rnacentral:rRNA from 1 species
UGGGGAAUAUUGGACAAUGGGCGAAAGCCUGAUCCAGCCAUGCCGCGUGUGUGAAGAAGGUCUUCGGAUUGUAAAGCACUUUAAGUUGGGAGGAAGGGCAGUAAGCGAAUACCUUGCUGUUUUGACGUUACCGACAGAAUAAGCACCGGCUAACUCUGUGCCAGCAGCCGCGGUAAUACAGAGGGUGCAAGCGUUAAUCGGAAUUACUGGGCGUAAAGCGCGCGUAGGUGGUUCGUUAAGUUGAAUGUGAAAGCCCCGGGCUCAACCUUGGAACUGCAUCCAAAACUGGCGAGCUAGCGUAGGGCAGAGGGUGGUGGAAUUUCCUGUGUAGCGGUGAAAUGCGUAGAUAUAGGAAGGAACACCAGUGGCGAAGGCGACCACCUGGGCUCAUACUGACACUGAGGUGCGAAAGCGUGGGGAGCAAACAGG